AUGGACUUAAAGUAGUUUACACAAUAAAAUAUUUUACAGAUGUUCCUGAGGUGUGUUACAGAUGUUCCUGAGGUGUGUUACAGAUGUUCUUGAGGUGGGAGGUGUGUUACAGAUGUUCCUGAGGUGUGUUACAGAUGUUCCUGAGGUGUGUUACAGAUGUUCCUGAGGUGGGAAGUGUGUUACAGAUGUUCCUGAGGUGUGUUACAGAUGUUCCUGAGGUGUGUUACAGAUGUUUCUGAGGUGGGAGGUGUGUUACAGAUGUUCCUGAGGUGUGUUACAGAUGUUCCUGAGGUGUGUUACAGAUGUUUCUGAGGUGUGUUACCGAUGUUCCUGAGGUGUGUUACAGAUGUUUCUGAGGUGUGUUACAGAUGUUUCUGAGGUGGGAGGUGUGUUACAGAUGUUUCUGAGGUGGGAGGUGUGUUACAGAUGUUCCUGAGGUGUGUUACAGAUGUUCCUGAGGUGUGUUACAGAUGUUCCUGAGGUGGGAGGUGUGUUACAGAUGUUCCUGAGGUGUGUUACAGAUGUUCCUGAGGUGGGAGGUGUGUUACAGAUGUCCCUGAAGUGGGAGGUGUGUUACAGAUGUUCCUGAAGUGGGAGGUGUGUUAAAGAUGUUUCUGAGGUGUGUUACAGAUGUUCCUGAUGUGGGAGGUGUGUUACAGAUGUUUCUGAGGUGUGCUACAGAUGUUCCUGAUGUGGGAGGUGUGUUACAGAUGUUUCUCAGGUGUGUUACAGAUGUUUCUGAGGUGGGAGGUGUGUUACAGAUGUUUCUGAGGUGUGUUACAGAUGUUUCUGAGGUGGGAGGUGUGUUACAGAUGUUCCUGAGGUGUGUUACAGAUGUUCCUGAGGUGUGUUACAGAUGUUUCUGAGGUGUGUUACAGAUGUUCCUGAGGUGUGUUACAGAUGUUUCUGAGGUGUGUUACAGAUGUUCCUGAGGUGUGUUACAGAUGUUCCUGAGGUGGGAGGUGUGUUACAGAUGUUUCUGAGGUGGGAG